UGUUUCGGCAAGGGGGUCAUCCCGACUUACCAACCCGAUGCAAACUGCGAAUACCGGAGAAUGUUAUCACGGGAGACACACGGCGGGUGCUAACGUCCGUCGUGAAGAGGGAAACAACCCAGACCGCCAGCUAAGGUCCCAAAGUCAUGGUUAAGUGGGAAACGAUGUGGGAAGGCCCAGACAGCCAGGAUGUUGGCUUAGAAGCAGCCAUCAUUUAAAGAAAGCGUAAUAGCUCACUGGUCGAGUCGGCCUGCGCGGAAGAUGUAACGGGGCUAAACCAUGCACCGAAGCUGCGGCAGCGACGCUUAUGCGUUGUUGGGUAGGGGAGCGUUCUGUAAGCCUGCGAAGGUGUGCUGUGAGGCAUGCUGGAGGUAUCAGAAGUGCGAAUGCUGACAUAAGUAACGAUAAAGCGGGUGAAAAGCCCGCUCGCCGGAAGACCAAGGGUUCCUGUCCAACGUUAAUCGGGGCAGGGUGAGUCGACCCCUAAGGCGAGGCCGAAAGGCGUAGUCGAUGGGAAACAGGUUAAUAUUCCUGUACUUGGUGUUACUGCGAAGGGGGGACGGAGAAGGCUAUGUUGGCCGGGCGACGGUUGUCCCGGUUUAAGCGUGUAGGCUGGUUUUCCAGGCAAAUCCGGAAAAUCAAGGCUGAGGCGUGAUGACGAGGCACUACGGUGCUGAAGCAACAAAUGCCCUGCUUCCAGGAAAAGCCUCUAAGCAUCAGGUAACAUCAAAUCGUACCCCAAACCGACACAGGUGGUCAGGUAGAGAAUACCAAGGCGCUUGAGAGAACUCGGGUGAAGGAACUAGGCAAAAUGGUGCCGUAACUUCGGGAGAAGGCACGCUGAUAUGUAGGUGAAGCGACUUGCUCGUGGAGCUGAAAUCAGUCGAAGAUACCAGCUGGCUGCAACUGUUUAUUAAAAACACAGCACUGUGCAAACACGAAAGUGGACGUAUACGGUGUGACGCCUGCCCGGUGC
rnacentral:rRNA from 1 species